rnacentral:lncRNA from 1 species
AAGGGGUUAGUGUGCUUUACAGGAGUAUUUAAUAGCUGCUCUAUGUGUAAAGAGCUUUGGGACCCUAUCAAAUGAAAAGAGCUAUGCACUGUAAAUGCAAACAAUUAUUAAUAUGCUAGAUCUCUUUGUCAAUGUCCUAUUAUAACAAUUAUAAUUAACCUUCCAUGGUAAGUUUAACAGUGAAGCAGGAAUAAAUCCAAGAUUAAGGUACAAGUUGAACAUAAAAUAUGCUUAAACAGGAAGCUUGUGUUAAAAGCUCCAAAUAAUGUCUGUUGUAGCUGACCAGAUUUCACAGGGCUGAACACCAGCUGUGUGAAAUAUGAGACUCUUUAAGGAAGAAAAAAAUGAGCUUACACACAAGCUUGUAUGCUUGUGCUGAUAGCAUCAAUAGGAUGACGAAAACAAUUACCCUUCUGGGAAGGGCAUUCUCUGACAUUUGCAAGAAUGCGCUGAGAUGUUCAUAAUGCAAAAGCUCUAGCAGUCGCACACGCAUGAUCUUCGAUUACCUGUGCUCUGCUUGUGGGUUGGGCAGAACAUCAAUGUGGUGCGUCCUGAAGAACAUUAGACAGGGCGGAAACAAUUCUCUCAAAACCUUUGACAGCCUUAAAGUAUAGCUGAGGGCAAUGUAACUUUCAUUUAAGAGACAUACUUUCAGAAUAAAAUCAGGAUACUAGUUUGCCAGGCCAAGAGUAAAACAUGUACUUUUUAUUUAAAAAAGCAGGAAUUAAUUUGGUUUUAUUUGUGAUUUGUAUCAACACGUCUUUUGAACAGUUAGUGAUGCCAACAACAGAACCAACAGGAUCAAGUUUUCCCUCAAAUGAAACAGCUAUGUUGCAUACAACCCCAACACUUAUAUCACCUCCUGCAAGUACAACGCCAGCUCCUACAACAACACCUCCAUCUGUUCUUGCGUCCAUAUCAACAAUAUCUCCCCAUAUAGCCACAACUACACCUCCCACCACAACCUC